GCCCUGUGCUGCUGUAGGACCUUCCUCAGUGCUUCAUCUUGCCUCCUUGCACAGUGGCCAAUCUUCACAGAAAUGGCAAGAAACUCUUUUUCUGCCUUGUGGGAAAGACUCAGCUUUUUUUAGAAAAGGGAGCAGUUGCACAGAAGCCCUCAGGCUGAGAAGAGCCGACACUUCCCAGAACCAUUUCAGAGAGCAACUCCCAAAACUUUGCCUUUGCCACCUGCCUUAGAGAACCCUCCCCAGAGCCACAGCUUCAUUUUUGCCAGGAUGCCUGAAAUGUGACACAGAAAAAUGAAGAAACCAGAGAUUCAAGAGGUUUUUUAACUCAGGUGGAGGUUGGUGCCUUUAGUUCAAAGCUACCUAUUAGUGAAUGGUACCCAGAGGAGGAAAAUCAUGCAGCUGUCUGAAAGGAGACCAAAAUUCAAAUGAAAUGUUU